rnacentral:rRNA from 1 species
AUUGAACGCUGGCGGCAUGCCUUACACAUGCAAGUCGAACGGUAACAGGUUAAGCUGACGAGUGGCGAACGGGUGAGUAAUAUAUCGGAACGUGCCCAGUUGUGGGGGAUAACUACUCGAAAGAGCGGCUAAUACCGCAUGAGACCUGAGGGUGAAAGCGGGGGAUCGCAAGACCUCGCGCAAUUGGAGCGGCCGAUAUCAGAUUAGCUAGUUGGUGGGGUAAAAGCCCACCAAGGCAACGAUCUGUAGCUGGUCUGAGAGGACGACCAGCCACACUGGGACUGAGACACGGCCCAGACUCCUACGGGAGGCAGCAGUGGGGAAUUUUGGACAAUGGACGCAAGUCUGAUCCAGCCAUGCCGCGUGCGGGAAGAAGGCCUCGGUGUAACGCUUUGUCAGGGAAGAAACGGCUCGCUCUAAUACAGUGGGCUAAUGACGGUACCUGAAGAAUAAGACACCGGCUAACUACGUGCCAGCAGCCGCGGUAAU